GUUCCUACGGGAGGCAGCAGUGGGGAAUAUUGCACAAUGGGGGGAACCCUGAUGCAGCGACGCCGCGUGGGGGAAGGAGUAUUUCGGUAUGUAAAGCCCUAUCAGCAGGGAAGAACAAUGACGGUACCUGACUAAGAAGCACCGGCUAAAUACGUGCCAGCAGCCGCGGUAAUACGUAGGGAGCAAGCGUUAUCCGGAUUUACUGGGUGUAAAGGGCGUGUAGGCGGGCAUGCAAGCCAGAAGUGAAAUCUGGGGGCUUAACCCCCAAACUGCUUUUGGAACUGCGUGUCUUGAGUGAUGGAGAG
rnacentral:rRNA from 1 species